UACGUAGGGUGCGAGCGUUAAUCGGAAUUACUGGGCGUAAAGCGUGCGCAGGCGGCUUACUAAGACAGGUGUGAAAGCCCCGAGCUUAACUUGGGAAUGGCGCUUGUGACUGGUAGGCUGGAGUGUGGCAGAGGGAGGUGGAAUUCCGCGUGUAGCAGUGAAAUGCGUAGAGAUGCGGAGGAACACCGAUGGCGAAGGCAGCCCCCUGGGCUGACACUGACGCUCAGGCACGAAAGCGUGGGGAGCAAACAGG
rnacentral:rRNA from 1 species